GUGCUCGCUUCGGCGGCACAUAUACUAAAAUUGGAAUGAUACAGAGAUUGGCAUGGCCCCUGCGCUAGAAUGACACGCGAGUUCAUGAAGCGUUCCAGAGUAAA